GUGACGAUGCGACGCCGCGUGAGCGAAGAAGGCCCUAGGGUUGUAAAGCUCUGUCAGGGGUUAAGAAAUGUAGAUAGGUUAAUACCCUGUUUAUUUGACAAAAGCCCCAAAGGAAGCCACGGCUAACUCUGUGCCAGCAGCCGCGGUAAUACAGAGGUGGCAAGCGUUGUUCGGUAUUAUUGGGCGUAAAGAGCACGUAGGUGGUUUUGUAAGUCAGAUGUGAAAGCCUUCUGUUCAAAGGAAGAACGGCAUCUGAAACUGCAAAUCUUGAGUGUAGGAGGGGAGAGUGGAACUUCUGGUGGAGCGGUGAAAUGCGUAGAUAUCAGAAGGAACGUCGGCGGCGAAAGCGACUCUCUGGCCUAUUACUGACACUGAGUGUGCGAAAGUUAGGGGAGCAAACGGGAUUAGAUACCCCGGUAGUCCUAACCGUAAACGAUGGGCACUAAGUAGAGGGGUUUUU
rnacentral:rRNA from 1 species